CUGCGUUCAGAUACUCUGCAGUUUAAAAUGCAUUGCAGAGAUGUUGACUAGGCCACGUCUAUCAGAACUCCGGCAAAACCUUGGCUGUUACUGUAAUUCCUAUGCACCCCCAUCAUUUCAAAUUUUUCAGCCGAUCAGUAUCUCGGACUCUAUUGAUGACGUCAGUAAAAUGGUAGAAGUUCAAAGUGUAGCCGAUGCACGUGUUGCCAAGAACAAAAAUUUUACUGAAGAUGAGCAAUUACUUUUAUCGGGGUUAAUAAAAAAAACCAUCCAUCUAAAAAAAAUUCACAAGGAGAGGUCCCCAAGUGGAAUCCACCGAUUUUGAUGAAAUUUAGUAGGGUUGUGGAGUGUGUCUUCCUGAAUAUAG
rnacentral:lncRNA from 1 species